GGCAGACGGGUGAGUAACAUGUAGGUAUCUACCCUUUGGCCUGGAAUAACACGAGGAAACUUGUGCUAAUACCGGAUAAGUCUUUACGGAGAAAGCUUUAUGCACCAUUGGAUGAGCCUGCACUUGAUUAGUUUGUUGGUGGGGUAAUGGCCUACCAAGACUGUGAUCAAUAGCUGAUUUGAGAGGAUGAUCAGCCACAUUGGGACUGAGACACGGCCCAAACUCCUACGGGAGGCAGCAGUGGGGAAUCUUGCACAAUGGAGGAAACUCUGAUGCAGCGAUGCCGCGUGAGUGAAGAAGGCCCUUGGGUUGUAAAGCUCUUUCGUCGGGGAAGAAAAUGACUGUACCCGAAUAAGAAGGUCCGGCUAACUUCGUGCCAGCAGCCGCGGUAAUACGAAGGGACCUAGCGUAGUUCGGAAUUACUGGGCUUAAAGAGUUCGUAGGUGGUUGAAAAAGUUAGUGGUGAAAUCCCAGAGCUUAACUCUGGAACUGCCAUUAAAACUUUUCAGCUAGAGUGUGAUAGAGGAAAGCAGAAUUUCUAGUGUAGAGGUGAAAUUCGUAGAUAUUAGAAAGAAUACCAAUUGCGAAGGCAGCUUUCUGGAUCAUUGCUGACACUGAGGAACGAAAGCAUGGGUAGCGAAGAGGAUUAGAUACCCUCGUAGUCCAUGCCGU
rnacentral:rRNA from 1 species